AGCGAACGCUGGCGGCAGGCCUAACACAUGCAAGUCGAGCGCCCGUAGCAAUACGGGAGCGGCAGACGGGAGAGUAACACGUGGGAACGUACCCUUCAGUUCGGAACAACCCAGGGAAACUUGGGCUAAUACCGAAUACGUCCGUAAGGAGAAAGAUUUAUCGCUGAGGGAUCGGCCCGCGUCUGAUUAGCUAGUUGGUGAGGUAACGGCUCACCAAGGCGACGAUCAGUAGCUGGUCUGAGAGGAUGAUCAGCCUCACUGGGACUGAGACACGGCCCAGACUCCUACGGGAGGCAGCAGUGGGGAAUAUUGGACAAUGGGCGCAAGCCUGAUCCAGCCAUGCCGCGUGGAUGAUGAAGGCCCUAGGGUUGUAAAGUCCUUUCGACGGGGAAGAUAAUGACGGUACCCGU
rnacentral:rRNA from 1 species